rnacentral:rRNA from 1 species
AAUCUGCCUAUUAGUGGGGGACAACAUCUCGAAAGGGAUGCUAAUACCGCAUACGUCCUACGGGAGAAAGCAGGGGAUCUUCGGACCUUGCGCUAAUAGAUGAGCCUAAGUCGGAUUAGCUAGUUGGUGGGGUAAAGGCCUACCAAGGCGACGAUCUGUAGCGGGUCUGAGAGGAUGAUCCGCCACACUGGGACUGAGACACGGCCCAGACUCCUACGGGAGGCAGCAGUGGGGAAUAUUGGACAAUGGGGGGAACCCUGAUCCAGCCAUGCCGCGUGUGUGAAGAAGGCCUUAUGGUUGUAAAGCACUUUAAGCGAGGAGGAGGCUACUUUAGUUAAUACCUAGAGAUAGUGGACGUUACUCGCAGAAUAAGCACCGGCUAACUCUGUGCCAGCAGCCGCGGUAAUACAGAGGGUGCGAGCGUUAAUCGGAUUUACUGGGCGUAAAGCGUGCGUAGGCGGCUUAUUAAGU